CAAAGGAGAAUAAGUAAUUGCGUUCAUGAUUAAAGACGUGUCAGUGAAUAUUUAUUGAGUGCUUGCUGUGUGCCAAGAAGUGGGCUGGGUGCUUUACACAGAUCUCAUUUGACUGUCCACCCUGAAGGCCAGGGCCAUCUUACAGGUGCUGCAGCUGUUACAAAGAGGUCAGGGACUUUAAGCAAGGGUACACAGGUCCUAAGUGGCCCAGCUGGGGCGCAGGCCUGACCUGUGGGAUAGGCAGCCAAGGCUUUCCUGCUUCCCCUCAUGCAGAGAGCCUGGCUGUGCAUUUGGGAACGACGGGAGGUCUUCUGUUCUCAGUUCUAACUGGCUCUUUGGCCAUGGCCUCCCAAGGAAGCAUCUGUGGGUCGGGACCCUGGAGGGCUGCACCAGUCACCCAGACCUGGCCCAGUCCCUGCAGGCCCCUGACCUACAGUACGAGGUCCUUGCUCUCCAAAUCUGUUCAGUACCGGGAUGUGGGUAGCGAGGGUUCGGAAGUGAUGGAUGGCUAUAGUAUUUGUACGGUGCCCAGCCCCCUCCUCACCACACACACACACACACACACACACACUCCAGUCCCCCCCACCCUCCACCUGGACAGAACCUUACAACCCAGAUUGGUCUCUUCCUGCUGACAUAAACCUUCAUGUCUGGGACCUUCUCUGGAGCAGUGGGCAGAAUGAGGGGAAGAUGGUGCUAAAAGCUGUAGGUCACAAUCCCGGUCCUGUCCAUCCUGAGCCUCCUUUGUCCUCUCCAGAAAGUGGACAGGUAAAGACCAGCCUUGGAGGCUUGUUAUGAGAAGAGACAUAACAACCUGGUGCCUGGCACAGCGGGGACACUCAGAGGGUGGGUCGUAAGAAUGAGGAAGAGGAGGAGGGCAGUAGGGAAGGUGGUAGAGAGACCUGGAGGCAGGAGCAGGGAAAACUUCCAGAUCCCUGCUCCCGGUCUGCUUGUCGGCCGUGCCUGUCUCUCCUCUCCCAGCCUCUCGGGGGAGGCUCUGCUGGAGACAUGAAAAGAAUCAGACCCAUCCCCCCCCUUUUCUCCCCACUUCCCUUCUUUUCAAGUUUUUGUCCAAGUGUCUGUGCCCGUCCCUGUCUCUCUGUCCCUCUGCCCCUCUCUGCCUCUGUCUCCCUGUGUCUGUCACCCCAUCUGCAAGUCUAUGUGCGUGCCUCUCUCCCUGCCCACAGCUCCCUCCUCUGCUUAAUCAUUUGAACCACCACGUCCUUGUAACUCAGCCAGACAGGGUAGCACCACCCCAUGAGGUGACUUACAUGCACACAUUCGGAUGCCAGCACUGUGACUGCCAGACCCUCGUUAGCAGGCCCCAACCCCCUCAGGGACUCAGCACCCAAAACACUGGCAAACCCUUCCCGGUUCUAUUUCUGUUCCCAGUGCGGGGAACAGAGAAAGCAAGUCCCCCAGUCAUUCUCACUGGGGCAGAACAGCGAGCUAGGGCUCAAACAGGCCCCUCUGGGGACCUCGGUCUCCGUGUGUGUGGCUGUGUCACCCUGUGACAAACUAGUGACCUAGUGACACCACCCUUCCUCAGCCUCCCUUCAGCCGACUGGUCCUCUCAAUCAGCCAGCAAUGGAGGUGCUGGGGGUUUCCUGGUCCCAACCUCAGGCUUUCUGCAUUUAGCAAGUGCACUGAAGUUAGAAUAAUGCAGCCCCCUCCCCCUUCCAUUGUGACAGGGCCCAGCCCAGACCUCUGCACCUGAGGCCUCACACAGGCUGCUUGGCCCACCGCAGGCCCGCAAACCCAGGAGCUCGCAUCCCACUCACAGGAUGUUCCAACAGCACCCUCUCCUGGAAAGCUCCCUUUAUUUUGUGGAGAGUCGAACUCCAGUUGUGUUCGGUGACCAUACCUGGUAUCUGAGAACCUCGCUGGGAAGAGAACUGUCCAUUUUGCAGAUGAGAACACUGAGGCAGGAAGAAGUUAAGUAACUGCUCCCAGGCCACGCCGACAGUACACAGCAGCUCUGAGAUUCAAGGCCAGGCCUUACAGAUCAUGAGGAGGAUCUCGCAGAUCCAUGUGACUGUGUGUCGUUGGGCCUAUAUUCAGUUACAUAAACCUCUAAAUUUUAGCAUCUAUUUUAGGGCUCCGCACUCAGAAUACGCACUCUGAAUAUUUGUUGAGUUGACAUCUUGCUGGGCAUUUUGUGGUGGGCAGUAAAUAUCUGGUAUACAAAGGAUGGAUGGACUGGACCCAAAAGGGACUGAGAUUAUAAAUGUGGUGGGAGGCUCAGGAUGCCAUGUCGGGGACCCCCAUGGCAGAAUUCAGGGUUCUGCUCCCCACCUACCACAUUUUUUUGUGAAUACAGGAGCAGGGGAGCCUGGGACAGUGACCGGGGGACAGGCCUUGGCAGCCUCUCUCUGUCUGUCCAGCCAUCCAAGAACUGAUGCCUCGUCUUCUCCCCACCCACCCUAGUGAUGUCACAGUGUGUGUGGGGGGGGGCAGGGGGACAGGCAGGGGUGUGGUUGGGAGACCCUCCCUCACCUCCUUUGCUAACCCAGAGGCUAUCUGGUGCUUCUACUUUUAAACAAGCAGAAGGAUGGCCCCAGUCUUUUCUUCCUCCACGUUUGUAAGCAAAGGAAGGAAAGGACAGAAAUCCCAGGAGACCAUCAGGCAGCGAUAGGCCAGGGCUGUCCCCCUGUAGGGCCCUACAGUGUGGUGCUAAUCUACAGGAGACAGAGGCUCACAACCCUCCCAGGCUGGCACAGAGGGCAUGGGGUGUCGCAGAGAACAGGGGUUCUCCCUCACUAGGAGCUCAGAUUUGGGAAGACUAGAGACGCUAGCUGGAAGCAGGAGUGUUGGCCACAUGCGCGUUAGAGGGUGAGAGCACUGCGCGUGGAAGUCGGGUAGGGGGGCAGUCAUGGAUCCAGGAGCAUUUUGGAGCAUAGGUGAAACAGGAGAAGGUAGGUGUAAACGAACCCAGCGUGUCAGGGGACAGAGAGGGCAGCGCGCCUGGCAGCAGGCACUGUGUAGGAAAGUGGGGGAGAGCUUAGCAGAGCAGAGGGGGCAGAUUAUGGAGCCCUGCCUGGAUGCUCCUUGGAGAAGUCUGAGAUUCCAAGUUGCUUCCAGUCCUGUGCACGUGGCUCCCACCGCCCUCCAGCAGUCUGUGCUACUGGCUGCCCAACCACUUCUUAACAAAUGUCCAGAGGAGGAGCACAGCACGAUCUGUUUCCUGGUAUUUGGAAGCACGCCCUGUCUACAGAAAGCAGCCCGUGUCUGGUUUCCUUGUCCCCAGAGUCACCAUAGGGCCUUUUCAUGGCCCACCGUGAAGUGCGGGUCAAGCCCUGCUCAGCAGUAUCAUGGCAUUGUGACGACCAUCACCCCAGCCACCACCCUCGGGCACCUCUGGAGAAGUGACACUGGGGCAUCCCUUCUCCCUUCCUGGAGGGGCUCUUGGCCCACCCAGCCGUUAAUGUGCAAAUGGCCCAUUUUCUGCUUCAAAGGAAAGAUUUUUUUUUUUUUUUCCCUGAGAUCUGCAGUUUUCGAGUAUUCUCAAAUGACUAGCCAGAAUCAAUCUGAGAUCUAAGAGUUUGGUGCAUGUUGAGUGUGGUAUUCUCAACUGCCAUCUUCACUUCUUUUUGGCAAGACCCAGCGAGCCAGUGGGUGAAGGAGGGACCUGAGGCUUGGGGGCCAUAGAGCCCAUGUUACUCACUUUUAAAAUUUGUUCCUUCACCUGAACUGCUGCUGCUGCUGCUGCCACCUUCUAUCCCUCCUGUCUCCUCCUCCAUUCACUUGCCCAAAGGCCCUGUACAGUUCAUUCUUCCUUCCCAAGUCUGGCCCUGCUCCAGGCAUCAGUGGGGACCCUAGUGAAAGAGAAGCUCCAAUAGAGGGUGUUGUGUGGUCAAGGGUCUCUGCAGUUCAGACCUGGAGAUCCAGGGGGUUUUGAGGAAGGCGAAUUCCUGUGAGUUGCAAGUCAAUUGGGAGGGCUUCCUGAAGGAGGAGGACUGGAUUGAGCCUUAAAGAAUAGAACCCUCCUAGGGCCACAUGAUGGAUGGGAGGUGAUCUGGCUGCCACUCUGGGUAAAUGGAUGUUACCUUCUGUUUUGUGUGGACCUUCCCCAAAAGAGGGUGACCUUGUGAGAUAGAGGGUGACCAUGAGGCAGAUGGCCUGGCUCAAGAUAAUGGCCCCCUGCCUGCCCCAUCCAUAGCAGGGUGGACUGGGCUGCCCCAGCCAAACCACCCUGGCUCACUCUACCCCCUCCUUCCUAAUUGCCCCAUUACUGUAAAUAAUAUCUUCCUUUCCAAACAAUUAGCCUUCUCAUCUUGAAGCUUCCUGUUUGUUUUUUCUGGUUCCGAGGCCCUAACGUUGGAGAAAACAAACAUCCGGCAUCUGUCUGCAGUCUCCCUGCAACCAGCCCAGCCACUAAUGCUUUUACAGCCCCCGCAGGCCUGCUCCCCUGUCCCCCUCCCAGACCGUCUCCUGGACCAUCAGAUCCUUUAAACGAGCUCAGGAGGAGACAAGGGACAAUUCUUACCUCCACUUGCAACAGGGAAACCAAGGCUCAGAGGGUCUGCACGGUUUGCCCAAGGUCCUUGGAGGAUGAGCAGGUG